rnacentral:sRNA from 1 species
GGUGUACUUCUCUCCGAACAGGAGUCUCG